GACAACUGCUUCUACUAACACGGGUUAUACCACAAGAACAAACUGAGUAACAUUUUUCAUAAACCAUGUUUCGUUUUUUUUAAACAUUAAUCCCGGAAGUAACGACUAUCCUAGCGUCAUGUAAAUAUGGGGUAACUCAACUUUACCGACGCAUUCGUGUCCCUUUUGACAAGUUUUGCAAAACUGGAUUAGCAUAAAUUAACCUUAUGUGACAUAAUAACAUAACGUUACUCGUAUAACAGGACUCUAGUCGGUCUAACGCUACCGGGCAGGAAAAGCAAAGGGAGUUUUCAAAAGAGGACUGCUGAUAUGUUCACAAUUUGCAACUCUUACAGAGUAACGUUAACGUAACUUAACGUUAGUGUUGCUAACGUCACAUUACUCGUGUCGUAUUAGUCGCCAAUGGAAAGCUCAUCAAUGUUUGGUCUUCGUCUGUCACUAAAACAAAGAUAUUUUCUGCUGCUGUGUGUUGCUGUCGGAGCGAUACUUGCUUAUCAGUGUACAAGGAAUCGUGCUGAAGUAAGAAGAAUGAGUCGCGUAGAGGGUCUGAAGGCCAACUCUUCUCAGUUCACUCUGGAGGGAAAGCCUUUCCGCAUCCUGGGGGGCUCCAUCCAUUACUUCCGUGUCCCCAGAGCCUACUGGGAGGACCGGCUGCUGAAGAUGAAGGCCUGUGGCCUCAAUACGCUCACAACGUAUGUGCCGUGGAACCUGCAUGAGCCUGAGCGAGGGGUGUUCAACUUUGAGGAUCAGCUGGAUUUAGAAGCCUACCUCAGCCUUGCAGCCAGCCAGGGCCUCUGGGUGAUUCUGCGUCCAGGUCCGUACAUCUGUGCUGAGUGGGAUUUAGGGGGACUACCCAGUUGGCUACUACGGGAUCACAACAUGAAACUGAGAACAACCUACCCAGGGUUUACUGAUGCAGUCAAAUCCUUCUUUAAUCACCUCAUUAGGAAAGUUGCUCCAUAUCAGUACUCCAAGGGUGGCCCAAUUAUUGCAGUUCAAGUGGAGAAUGAAUAUGGCUCCUUUGCUAAAGAUAAAGAGUACAUGCCUUUCAUCAAAGAGGCGUUAUUGUCAAGGGGCAUCACAGAGCUGCUGCUGACCUCAGACAACAAGGAAGGACUAAAGCUUGGAGGAGUGAAAGGAGCACUAGAAACCAUAAAUUUCCAGAAACUGAACCCCAAUGACAUCAAGUAUCUGGAUGGAAUACAACCUCAGAAGCCUAAGAUGGUGAUGGAGUACUGGUCUGGCUGGUUCGAUCUUUGGGGGGACCUUCAUCAUGUGUACACAGCUGAGGACAUGAUACCUGUGGUCACAGAGAUCCUUAAACUGGACAUGUCCAUCAACCUCUACAUGUUCCAUGGAGGCACGAAUUUUGGCUUCAUGAGUGGGGCGUUUGCCGUCGGAAAACCAGCACCCAAGUCUAUGGUAACAAGCUAUGAUUACGAUGCUCCAUUAUCCGAGGCUGGGGAUUACACCACCAAGUACCAUCUUCUGAGGAAUUUAUUCAGCCUCUACCACACCCAGCCUCUCCCUGAGCUGCCCUCUCUUCAGGAGAGGAGAGCAUACCAGCCUGUUGUCAUCCAGCAGCACCUGUCUCUGUGGGACAGUCUGCAUUUCACUGACAAGCCUUUGAAGUCAGAGAGGCCGGUGAACAUAGAGAAUCUUGCUGUCAACAAUAACAAUGGUCAGUCUUAUGGCUACACGCUGUAUGAGACCACAAUCACCAGUGAAGGAACCCUCAACUCAAAGAACAACGUCAGGGACAGAGCUCUGGUUUUUGUGGACAAACAUUUUGUUGGUGUUCUGGAUUAUAAGACGCAAGAACUCGCACUCCCUGUUGGGAAGGGGAAAAGAACUCUAAGUUUACUGGUGGAGAACUGUGGAAGAGUGAAUUAUGGGAAAACCCUGGACGAGCAGCGCAAAGGACUUGUUGGAGAUAUCGAGUUAAACAGGCGCAUCCUCCGAGACUUCAUUAUUCAUAGUCUGGAUAUGAAGCCAGGCUUUGUAAACAGACUUGAGAGUUCAGGCCACUGGAUGUCUCUGCGUCAUCGGCCCUCCUUCCCAGGUUUUUUCCAGACCAGACUCUAUGUGAACAGUUCUCCUAAAGACACCUUCAUCAAACUCCCUUCAUUGAUUCUGUUCACAGGGCUGGGGCAAAGGCGUAGUGUUUAUCAACGGCAAGAAUCUGGGACGCUACUGGUUCAUCGGUCCUCAGCAAACUCUCUAUGUCCCAGGUCCCUGGCUUCACAGAGGAGACAACAAGGUCUCUCACACCAAAGGCAGGCAUCUUAUCCAUUGCGCCAUCACCACGCCCCGCAGAUGCAAAUGAAAAUCCUCCAAAUCUUAAAGACUGUGCAAACAUAGCAGAUGUACAUGGUCUAGUUCCAUCAGUCCUUCAAUAUGGCAAAGUAAAAGCACAUCACAGAUCACAGUGUUUGAAGAGCAGGAAACAGAUGGGAAGAUUCAGUUCGCUAGCAGCCCCGACUAUGGCAUGACUGUUGAUGUCCAGUGAGGACAGGAAGUGAGGGUGGAAGUGUGGAUGAGGAGAGGAGGAUUAUGGGAAAGUAGCUGGGGAGGACGUGAUUCAGGCGACUGCUGUGAGCUUCGUCUUCUGAGGCACUGAUGCCCGGCUACGACCAGCAGCACUCAAGAGUGACACAUGUCAGUGAGCAUGACAUUUUGUGUUAUAUCACAAGAUGCCAACACAGCAGUGAUCCAGGCUACUUUUUCAUUUCAUGACUGCAUUUAUGACAGUCUGUUGAAUCCUUUUUAUUCAAUUUAGUAACUGUAUCAUUAACCUGCACUCAUAUAGUACAUAAUUGGAGACCAAGGGACUGUGACAGAGAAUGAUCUUGAUUAUAAUAAAGUGUUAUAAAAUCUCUUCCUCUCACAGAAUUUAUAAAUUACAGGCUGUGUAAAAAGAACUGUGAAUAAAGGCUGGUUUGACCCCUUGUCAGUAGCUAAGGCCAA